GUGAGGAAUUUUCCGCAAUGGGCGAAAGCCUGACGGAGCAAUGCCGCGUGAAGGAUGAAGGCCUAUGGGUUGUAAACUUCUUUUCUUAGAGAAGAAUAUUGACGGUAUCUGAGGAAUAAGCAUCGGCUAACUCUGUGCCAGCAGCCGCGGUAAGACAGAGGAUGCAAGCGUUGUCCGGAUUUAUUGGGUUUAAAGGGUGCGUAGGCGGAUCUUUAAGUCAGUGGUGAAAGCCUGCAGCUUAACUGUAGAAUUGCCAUUGAAACUGAAGAUCUUGAAUGUGGUUAAAGUAGGCGGAAUGUAUCAUGUAGCGGUGAAAUGCUUAGAUAUGAUACAGAACACCGAUAGCGAAGGCAGCUUGCUGAACCAUUAUUGACGCUGAGGCACGAAAGCGUGGGGAGCGAACAGGAUUAGAUACCCGUGUAGUCC
rnacentral:rRNA from 1 species